GUCUGAAGAGCAUAGGCGAGCGAAGAGGCGUCAAGCAGUUCAAUAGACUCUGUCUCCAAAAAACCAGCAGCUGGGGACCCUGGUGGAGGAGCUAAGUUUGCUGGGAGCCCUGGUGAAACAAGGACAACAGCAGUACUGUUCCUACAGGUAGAUCUGAUGAAGGUGUCUGUGAGCUGCUGCUGCUACUGGUGACUGAUGACACAGCAGCUCAGACAGUGCCGUACCGAAUUGGUUCUCUUCCGUUUCCAGCAGUCUGGAUUGAGUCUUUUCUGCUCCUCCGCCAGAGCCUUGGCCUCCAUGGUGUACAUCCUUCGCUCCUCAUUCUUCAUCUUCUUCCACUUGUCACCCAGGAUGACACUAAUGGCUCUGGAGUCAAAGGAUACAUCUGCGUGUACUCCACUCUGUACUUCUUGGCAAAGAGCAUGAAGGCAUUCAUUGGCCGCUUGCAUUUCGUAGGUGUGGCACCACUGGUUGUCCCUGAGGUGUGGCCCCUGUUGGAUUUGCUACUAGAGGACUGUGGGGAACUGGAGCGCUCAAGUUUAUCACAGUCUGGACUGACCGCGCCCCCACUGGACAGAGAGGUCCUGCGCUGACGGGCCAUGCUGCUUAGCACAUACACUGCUGAGGAAUCUAGUGGUGUGAAGUCAUAACUGGAGAAAGACAGAAAUUAUUACGGUGAUUUUAAAUCUGUAACAUGUUAUUUUUUCAUUGUAAAUAUGUUGUUUGUUACAGAAAUCUAAACACGUGACUAUGAAUUUUGCUACAGUGAAUAGGACUGGGUGACUGUUGCUGUAUAAAUAAUUACCUGAACUUAAACAAUAAAAAUGCAUAUGUGCUAUAUAAUAGAGAACUUUA